GAGUCUGUCUCCUUUAGGAGAGAAAAUAGAUCUUUACUUCAAGACCACAGAAAUGAAAAGAAACCCAAUUUCCCAGCUCUUCCUUUUACAGAAAAUUUCCAAGUAUGUGACUUCAAGUGAGGUCUCACACACUCCCGCGAAUGAAAAUGCGUGACUUAUUCCCAUUUUACAGGUGAGGAAAUGGAAGGUGGCAGCCCGAUGACUCAGCGGUGGAGCGUCUGCCUUCCGCCCAGGGCAUGACCCCGGGGUCCGGGAUCGAGU